AUGACUUCAUCUUUAGAGAGAUAAGAUGAAAUUGUUCUUCCAAGAGUAGUUUCUCUUGUUUCUGAUGAGGAUGGAAAGUACAAACUUAUGUUUAAACUCUGAUUUUAACCAUUCCAAUUUUAACUUCAUCCCUACGUAUAACUGCAGAUAUAACAACUCUUAAUGAAGGGGAGGCAUUUUAGAGUUUUGAUCAGAAACAGUCUUUCUGAGGUGGAUGCUGAGGACCUUACUGAAUCUGACUGUUCUUAGACUGUGUGGAAAUUUAUCUGCAAUUAAGUAUACAAAGUACAGUUGCAGAGUAAUCUGAAGCAUAAUACUCGCUUUUGGAGGUACACUUAUUACUUUUUUUUUUUGUCUUAACUGUAGACAAACAUGUAAAAAAACCAUGUCAUCCAAGUACUAUGUUUCCCAAACAGCAGAGACUAUGUUGGUACACAGAUUAAUCCACUUCAAAGGAAUGUUAAGAACUAUUGGAAGACAGAUGCAGUAGGUAAGCACCCACUGAUUUCACAUGCAAUGAAAUUCCUCUGCUGAAUGGACUUUCUAAUAGAUAUUAAAACUGUGUGAUAACUGAAAUGAGUAUAACCUGGUUGGCACAAAACUACUUAAACCCGCUUUUUAGUUUAAAAUAUUAGAAUGCUUUUUACAUUUGAUUUUGUGUUCUAGUGGUAGGAUGUACUUGCAGAGCAGCUGAAAUGUACAAUACAAGUAAAGAAUCAGUAUGAGCUUUUUGUUGAUCUCAGGUUAACUCGCCUUCAAAUGCAAAUUGCUUCAUUACAUUGGUAUUAACUAUGACAUGUUAUGAUGGACUAUCUAGGUUCAGGAUGCAGCUUUGAUUUUUCUGUUUUAUCUGUUUAUGAUAGGUGUCUGCCUUUCUCUUCCUGGCUUUGAUGUUUCUUGAGUUUCUCAUCCUUAAUAAUAAAUUGAUUGUCAGUAACUUACUGUGCAGUAGCCCCUUACGAUAUGCUUUCUUAGCUUUCUGUAGCUAGUGUUUAUAGACAUUGAUGUUAUCAAUACAGUUGUCAUGUAGCAAAGAUACAUGUUUAGCUUUUAUUUUCUCUUUAUACGUCCAGUCCCCUUUUUUCUCUGGAUUCCCUUUAACUCAUUAACAAUUUUUAGACAGCAUGCUAAAAUACGUAGGUUGCUCUGAAAGUAAUGCCUCAUAUUUAUUUACACAGAAACUAUCACAGAUACAAAAGUAGAACAAUGCUAUUUGAUUAGAGCAAAUUCUCAGCUACAAAACACUACUUGUCAACGUAGUCACCACCAUUACAUAUGUAUUUUUACCAGUGAUGAACAAGAGCCUGCAUGCCGUGCUCGUAAAAAUCUGCACCAGUGGAGGUCACCCACUGUUUCACAGUUGCUAUGAAAUCAUCAGUGCUAGGAAAAUAUUGCCCAUGUGAUUCAUCUUUCAUCAGCUCAAACAGAUGGAAGACAGAAGGUGCCAAAUCUGGACUAUACUGUGGGUGUGAUAGGACAGUCCAGCCAAGAAUGACAAUGUACUACACACUAUUCAAACUGGUAUGGGGCCUGGUGUUAUUGUUUUGUAAGAGAAAGUUUAUCUCCUCUGGCCUGACUCUGGAAGUUGAGCCUUCAGCCUAGUCCUGGCAAAUUUGCAUACAGUGUUCUUUCUCUUCCUGUGUGAGAGUUUGUCGAAUCUAUCUGGACUGAACUUUGCAAUAUUCUAACAUUGCCACCAUUCUUUGUAUUGUGUUGAAGCUGAUAUUCAGCUCCAUACACAAUUCUUUGGUUUUAAUCUGAUGAUUCUUGAAGUUGAGAGAGGUGAGGUGCUGGAACAGGCUGCCCAGAGAGGUUGUGGACGCUCUAUCCCUGGAACUGUUCAAGACCAGGUUGGAUGGGGCCAGUUGUAGUGCCAGAUCUGGAGGUUGGUGGCCCUGCCUGUGCCAAGGGGGCUAUAACUUGAUGACUUGAUGACUUCCAACCUAAGCCAUUCUAAGAUUGUAUGAUUCACAUGGUUUAGCUGAUUGAGACACCCUUCAUUUCAUGGUGUGACAGCUAUUAAUGGCCAUUUAGAACAUGGCUUGUCUCUCACAUCACUGUGGCCAUUGCUGAAAUGCGUGACACAAUGCCCCGCUUUGCUGACAUUCUCGUUUUCAGUCUCUAUAAACCUUCAGAAAGCAUCAGUGAAUGUCAAUAGGAGCCAUUUUUUUUUCUGCUUGGAGCAAUUCAGUGACACAGCUUUGCUUCAUACCCACUUUCAUGUGAGACACCAUUUUGCCAGCCUGCUCCUCUGCUGCCCUGUGUCACAUGGCAACAGAGAAUUGGCAGGAAGGUUAAAUCCUCCAUGGCUAUACCACUGACAUCCACUUCUGAUACUGUGGGUCAACAGACAUAAAAUAGGAAGCAUUAUUUUCAGAUCAGCCAUCAGAAUUCUAUUCUCCAUUGCUUUGCCUGUAAGACUUUUGAGAAGGGUUAUCAAAAGUAAACUAUUCAGGGACAUGUGUAAAAUCUUUUUUUUUCCCACUUUUUCUGUGCUGACCACUUGGGACUCUGACCAGUUAGAGUCUCUUUGAAUGAGCUAGGAACUACGUGUAUCUGAAUCAUACCAACUGGCCACCCACAAACCCUCAACAAAAUUUUUUAAACUUCACCUACCAUUUUCAUUGUUUUGGGUCCAACGAACAGAGUGACCUGGAUGUUACUCACAGAUGCAUGAGCUGCUUCAUGGUGACUAUACCCACAUUUUGCUUGUACAAGAGCUUUUUGUAUUUCUGUAGUCCAAAUUUUUUUAGUAGGGGGAGAGGAAUGUAUAUAAAGUUAAUCUGUGAAUGAGCUCAUCAUCCAGUAUUUUUCAGUGAUGGGCUUUGGAAAGAUUUACUGAAGCAGUCAUAUUUAGGUAUGUUUAACUUUUUGUGAGCAUACAGGCCAAUAUUUGCCAUAGCUCUAUUUUACCUUUCACAUACUAUAGUAUAUUAAACCACAAAACCGCACUGGCAUAGUUAAAGGGUGGGUAUUUAAUGUUAAGCUUUUCUUGGAAUAAAUGUGCUAGUGGAGGUGGGGAGUGGAUUUUUGUGUGUGUAUUGUUGCACAUGUAGGUUUUUUUCUUUUUCUUAUCAGCAGCAUGUGCCUAAUAGAAGCUACUUUUCAUCAUAAUGCUAAAAUCUCAUCACUAGCCAUGUACCACAUCUCAGAUGUUCAAUUAGAGCAGACAAAAUUAGUAAGUGACAUAUUAAUCCUUUUGUAGUCAUUUCAAUGAUUGGUGGUGAUACAUCUAAACUCUCUUACACAAUGCUAGUUUAGUGCAAGCAAUGUAAUAUACACCAUUCCAGGGUUAUUUACCUUUGUAUUGGAUGUGAACAUUGUUCAUAGGAAUUCAUCAUGAAUAACCUGAAAAACAUAGCAGGGUUCAGUAUGAGUAGCCUAUAUUGCUAGUGUUAGUACUCUGUUGGUACUAGUUGGUGUACAGGUUAGUAAUAUAUAUUUGGAAUUGACAGAGAGAAUUCAUUAGGUAAUGAGGAUAUAGCCAAGCGUUUAUUACAUUGCUGUUUCUUUGCAACCCUUGUCUUUGACUCCUGCUUUUUGAGUCAAAUUUCUUUGAUAGAUACGGGAAUCCGAGAGAGAAGAAAACCUUCAGUCUAGUAAGAGAGACUUCAAAUCAGCCAUUGAUCUUUCCUGAAAACCUCCUACUUUUGCCUACCAAGCAUUCCUAGCAUGUGUUUACUCAGUUUUGCUUUUUUCAUUCUUGUGACUGUACUGUUUCUGCUGCUUUCUUCUGGCACUCUUAUCAAAUUAUUUUCUCACCAAACUCUAAUACCUCCUUAACAUACAGAAAUAUCAAUUUGACACUAUCUGAAUUUCCUUUAGGAUAGGAGUCACUGAAUCCUACAGUCACAGAUUUCAGUCAGCAAACCUUCCUGUCUUUUCCAACAAACUCAUCAAAUACUAAACUCUAACACAAUGUGCCCAUUUGCUAUGUGUAUUCUUUUUGUUAAAUAAAAAGCACAGAUCAUGGAGAUCACUUUAUAAGAUAUAAAUUUUUAGUUAAUUUGACUAUGAAUGUUCUUUUGCUUCCGUUAGUAGUUCAUAUUACUAAGUGGCACAGGAAUGUAUCUUUUCCCCAGAAAAUUUUAGUUAAGUAUGGAAGAUGCAUGAAACUUCUGCUGUGUAUCUUCAGCAUAGUUAAUCUUUAUGAUAGGAAAACAUUUCCAUUAAAAUUACCUUAUUAGGCCUGAAUCAUUGCUAAUAGCAUAAAAAUCUAUGUGCUUAUUGGUCUUAUUUUUCUAAAAGUUCCAGUAAUAGAAUAAACUAUGAAGCUGGACAAGACAUUAAAGAAUGUGCAAUCACUGAGCUCUGUAGAUUUUGUUUCACUCUGAAAAUGGUAAUUGUGUCUUACUCUCUAAUCUAUGUUCGUAACCAAAGGCUUUGUAAAAAUGUUGUGAAAAUAUAUUUUAAGAUGUGACACAAGUGUGAACCAUGCAGUGAUACGGUAAAGUGCAUAAUAUAGUAUUAUUCAAUUAUUGUACCUCAUUCUUUUGUGUAGUUUCAUUCAUUUUGAAUGUUACAUCACCACAUCUGCUACUGCAUACAUAGCCCAAUUUCACAAAUGGUUUCCAUAACAAUUUGUAAGCCUCUCUGCCAGUGUUUGACUGAUGUCAUUCAAUCACUCUAAAACAUCCUUUGCUAGCCACUAGAGACACUGCAAGAAGAAUAUUUGCAAAUUAAGAGUAUAAUGGAAUGCGCUUUUUCCAUUGACAUAUGAGGUAGGCAGUACAUGUUAAGUAAUUUUGUUAGUCUGGUG
ensembl:lncRNA